GGGUAGCCGGCCUGAGAGGGCGACCGGCCACACUGGAACUGAGACACGGCCCAGACUCCUACGGGAGGCAGCAGUGGGGAAUAUUGCGCAAUGGGCGAAAGCCUGACGCAGCAACGCCGCGUGGGGGAUGAAUGCCUUCGGGUUGUAAACCCCUUUCAGCAGGGACGAAGCGAAAGUGACGGUACCUGCAGAAGAAGCGCCGGCUAACUACGUGCCAGCAGCCGCGGUAAUACGUAGGGCGCAAGCGUUGUCCGGAAUCAUUGGGCGUAAAGAGCUCGUAGGUGGUCUGCUACGUCUGCUGUGAAAACCUAGGGCUUAACCCUGGGCCUGCAGUGGAUACGGGCAGACUAGAGGUAGGUAGGGGA
rnacentral:rRNA from 1 species